AAGCACCAGUUUAAAGAGAUCUGCCCUUAAUUGUGUUCUUCGUAGUUUGGGUACAAGUUAUUGAGGUUUUUGAUUUCUUCAAUCAUUUAUUUAACUUAUUAAACAUAUUGAUUUCGAUUGUUGUUUCUAUCACCUCUGUUAGUACUUUACUAGCAUCGUCUUCCAUAUUUUAAUAUCACCUUUGGUUACAUAAACGAAAUUCUGCACAGACAAUGGAAAGCCUAUUAAACUUAUUUAAUGGUGAAGUUUGUCGCCAGCUUGAACCGGGAGUCAAUUGUCAAUGUCGAAGGCAUGGUCUCUGUCCCCAAUGAUUGAAGUAUGAGUACAACACAGCAGCAGGUUGGAACACAAUGUUUCUCACAUGGAAUCUGAGUAUCUGUCAACUCCAAUGAAUAAGAAAAAGAUACGGUGAUAUGUUUUUAAUGAUCCUGUCCUCGCCCUCUUUGUUUUUCCCUCAUUAAUAUGAUUCUUUUUUAUGCACAGCAUGGAGAAUGGUCAGGUGUAUUUGCUCAUGGCUAUUCGAGAUAUAAUGCUCUGUCCAUUUCAGGGGACUCGGGACUGCUCAUGCCUAUUUGACAUAUGAUGCUCUCCCCAUGUGAGGGGACUACUGAUAAUGCAAUGGAUGGAUCCUUUAUAUAUUCAAUGCUGAUUAUGAAGGGUUUGAAGCUUAUGUAGUCAGUCAAAGGCAUUGCUAAUCAGAUUAUUGUCUGUAAAAGCAUUGAAAAAUGUCAGUUACUUGCACAAUUGAAUUUUAUCUGUCGUUCAUUUGAAUGUUUAAACAUAUGAAUCAGUCGAAUACGAGUUUUACUUUAGUUGGCUUUUUCUCCA